AAAUUGAAGAGUUUGAUCAUGGCUCAGAUUGAACGCUGGCGGCAGGCCUAACACAUGCAAGUCGAGCGGAAACGAGUUAUUUAAACCUUCGGGGAACGAUAACGGCGUCGAGCGGCGGACGGGUGAGUAAUGCCUAGGAAAUUGCCCUGAUGUGGGGGAUAACCAUUGGAAACGAUGGCUAAUACCGCAUGAUGCCUACGGGCCAAAGAGGGGGACCUUCGGGCCUCUCGCGUCAGGAUAUGCCUAGGUGGGAUUAGCUAGUUGGUGAGGUAAGGGCUCACCAAGGCGACGAUCCCUAGCUGGUCUGAGAGGAUGAUCAGCCACACUGGAACUGAGACACGGUCCAGACUCCUACGGGAGGCAGCAGUGGGGAAUAUUGCACAAUGGGCGCAAGCCUGAUGCAGCCAUGCCGCGUGUGUGAAGAAGGCCUUCGGGUUGUAAAGCACUUUCAGUCGUGAGGAAGGUAGUGUAGUUAAUAGCUGCAUUAUUUGACGUUAGCGACAGAAGAAGCACCGGCUAACUCCGUGCCAGCAGCCGCGGUAAUACGGAGGGUGCGAGCGUUAAUCGGAAUUACUGGGCGUAAAGCGCAUGCAGGUGGUUUGUUAAGUCAGAUGUGAAAGCCCGGGGCUCAACCUCGGAAUAGCAUUUGAAACUGGCAGACUAGAGUACUGUAGAGGGGGGUAGAAUUUCAGGUGUAGCGGUGAAAUGCGUAGAGAUCUGAAGGAAUACCGGUGGCGAAGGCGGCCCCCUGGACAGAUACUGACACUCAGAUGCGAAAGCGUGGGGAGCAAACAGGAUUAGAUACCCUGGUAGUCCACGCCGUAAACGAUGUCUACUUGGAGGUUGUGGCCUUGAGCCGUGGCUUUCGGAGCUAACGCGUUAAGUAGACCGCCUGGGGAGUACGGUCGCAAGAUUAAAACUCAAAUGAAUUGACGGGGGCCCGCACAAGCGGUGGAGCAUGUGGUUUAAUUCGAUGCAACGCGAAGAACCUUACCUACUCUUGACAUCCAGAGAACUUUCCAGAGAUGGAUUGGUGCCUUCGGGAACUCUGAGACAGGUGCUGCAUGGCUGUCGUCAGCUCGUGUUGUGAAAUGUUGGGUUAAGUCCCGCAACGAGCGCAACCCUUAUCCUUGUUUGCCAGCGAGUAAUGUCGGGAACUCCAGGGAGACUGCCGGUGAUAAACCGGAGGAAGGUGGGGACGACGUCAAGUCAUCAUGGCCCUUACGAGUAGGGCUACACACGUGCUACAAUGGCGCAUACAGAGGGCGGCCAACUUGCGAAAGUGAGCGAAUCCCAAAAAGUGCGUCGUAGUCCGGAUUGGAGUCUGCAACUCGACUCCAUGAAGUCGGAAUCGCUAGUAAUCGUGGAUCAGAAUGCCACGGUGAAUACGUUCCCGGGCCUUGUACACACCGCCCGUCACACCAUGGGAGUGGGCUGCAAAAGAAGUAGGUAGUUUAACCUUCGGGGGGACGCUUACCACUUUGUGGUUCAUGACUGGGGUGAAGUCGUAACAAGGUAGCGCUAGGGGAACCUGGCGCUGGAUCACCUCCUUAAACGAUGAU
rnacentral:rRNA from 1 species